rnacentral:tmRNA from 1 species
GGGGCUGAUCGGUUUCGACUCCGUAUGUUGACGUGAGGGAAGCGGGUCGAGGAAGCCAACGCUGUCUCGUAAACCAACGUUGGAAACCAAUAAGUGCCAACGCAAAACGCACUGACUUCGCUCUCGCUGCCUAAGCGACGGUGAAGUUGCCGCUCCAGGGGCGCAUCCGCUCUGGGUUCGCGGCAUCAUGUAAGGAUGCUGGGCCGACGUCUUGAUCGCUGGGACGUCUGCCGAGAUCUUCGGCGAUUAGAGCCCGUCUCACCGACUCGUCCGCGUGAUCGGUGGGGCUCGAAAAAAGACACAGCGGACUGCACCCGGAGAAGUCUCACAGAUGCAGCGGAGGACCAGGGUUCGAUUCCCUGCAGCUCCACAC